GUUGAACGCUGGCGGCAUGCCUAACACAUGCAAGUCGAGCGGUAACAUGAAACACCUUCCUGUUUCGCUUUCGCGUCGCGCGCGUGUGUGUCAUGUCUGUGAACCUGCCUGAUGGAUGGGGUUAACUACGGGAAACGGUGGCUAUUACCGCAUAACGUCUCAAGACCAAGGAGCGAUACCUUCAGACCGCUUGCCAUCCGCUUUUCCCAGAUGGGAUUAGCUAGUAGGUAGGGUAACGGCUCACCGAGGCGACGAUCCCUAGCUGGUCUGAGAGGAUGACCGGCCACACUGGAACUGAGACACGGUCCAGACUCCUACGGGAGGCAGCAGUGGGGAAUAUUGCACAAUGGGCGAAAGCCUGACGCAGCAAUGCCGCGUGUAUGAAGAAGGCCUUCGGGUCGUAAAGUACUUUCAGCGGGGAUGAAGGGAGGAAAGUGAAUACCUGUGCGCAUUGACGUUACCUGAAGAAGAAGCCCCGGCUAACUCCGUG
rnacentral:rRNA from 1 species